rnacentral:tRNA from 1 species
GCUCUUGUAGCUCAGUUUGUUAGAGCACUCGUUUAGUAAGCGGGAGGUCUUGAGUUCAACUCUCAACAAGAGCA